rnacentral:rRNA from 1 species
AUCCUGCGAUCCCAGCGGAUCGCCGGGAAAUGUAGCGUAAGGGAGGAGAGUUAAAUUUAUACACGCGAGGUAUCAUUAGUCACGGCCGCCUGUCCAAGUUCAUCUUGAACGGGGCUCCGCUUGCCCAUAGAGGGUGCCAGGCCCGUAGCGACGGUGGCCGGCCUCGACGGUCUCUCUCCCGAGAGUCGGGUUGCUUGAGAGUGCAGCCCUAAGCGGGUGGUAAACUCCAUCUAAGGCUAAAUACAACCAC